rnacentral:snoRNA from 1 species
AUGACCGUACUUAAACAGGAUCUUUUCUAUAGUACACUCAUUUCUACUUGGUUUUCCAACGUAGACAAUCUCAAUAACUUUGAUGAUCGUAUUAGGCCCCACUCAUUGACUCGGGAUGUCGCAGAGCGCUGAUUGUUCUCUGGAACGGGACGUGCUCUCCUUGAUGAACGUCCGCUGUCGCUAUUCCAAGGCAGCGUGAGUGAGUGCGGGCGAUAUGAGAAGU